GAUGAACGCUGGCGGCGUGCUUAACACAUGCCAGUCGAACGGAAAGGCCACAGCUUGCUGUGGUACUCGAGUGGCGAACGGGUGAGUAACACGUGGGUGAUCUGCCCUGUACUUCGGGAUAAGCUUGGGAAACUGGGUCUAAUACCGGAUAGGAAUCACAUGUGGGUGUGUGGUUGGAAAGCUUUUGCGGUAUGGGAUGAGCUCGCGGCGUAUCAGCUUGUUGGUGGGGUAAUGGCCUACCAAGGCGUCGACGGGUAGCCGGCCUGAGAGGGUGUACGGCCACAUUGGGACUGAGAUACGGCCCAGACUCCUACGGGAGGCAGCAGUGGGGAAUAUUGCACAAUGGGCGGAAGCCUGAUGCAGCGACGCCGCGUGGGGGAUGACGGCCUUCGGGUUGUAAACUCCUUUCGUCAGGGACGAAGCGAAAGUGACGGUACCUGGAUAAGAAGCACCGGCUAACUACGUG
rnacentral:rRNA from 1 species